UAGUUACCAAGUGCAUUUUUUUAAACGUCCCUUUGAUACUUCUUUCCCUCGUGCUUGCCAUGGAAUAUACAAGGGCAAAAGGAGGGAAACGAGGGGGAGAAGGAUAUUUUUUCUCUUUGCCGAGUCCAACAUUUGGCUUUUUCCAUUUGUGGCAGAUCACUGUAACGCUAUUGUAAAACAACUUCCUGCCCCUUUUGGCUCACGUUCCAGAAGCUGCUAGGCUAAGUUCACAGCACAAACUUUUCUCCCCCUUGCCGAAGAAGAGAGACGAAAAAAAUAAUAAUAAUAAAAAAAUCCUGCAAAUUAUUUUUCCCCCUUUUCUGGCUAAUGGACUCACAAGGUGAAUUUAUUGCAGCUCUUUAAGAAUGUUACACAAGAGACGUCGGUAUCCCAGCUGGAUAAUUCAUAAGCUGAAAAGCAACAGCAUUUCUUGGUACGCCUGCUUUGGCAUACAUCAGCAUUUCUACCCGUCCAAGUGUCCUUUUGCGUCACAUCUCGCCAUU
rnacentral:lncRNA from 1 species